rnacentral:rRNA from 1 species
AAGUUUGAUCAGUGGCUCAGGACGAACGCUGGCGGCGUGCCUAACACAUGCAAGUCGAGCGAGUGAAUCUCCUUCGGGAGUGAAGCUAGCGGCGGACGGGUGAGUAACACGUGGGCAACCUGCCUCAUAGAGGGGAAUAGCCUUCCGAAAGGAAGAUUAAUACCGCAUAAGAUUGUAGCUUCGCAUGAAGUAGCAAUUAAAGGAGCAAUCCGCUAUGAGAUGGGCCCGCGGCGCAUUAGCUAGUUGGUGAGGUAACGGCUCACCAAGGCGACGAUGCGUAGCCGACCUGAGAGGGUGAUCGGCCACAUUGGGACUGAGACACGGCCCAGACUCCUACGGGAGGCAGCAGUGGGGAAUAUUGCACAAUGGGGAAACCCUGAUGCAGCAACGCCGCGUGAGUGAUGACGGCCUUCGGGUUGUAAAGCUCUGUCUUCAGGGACGAUAAUGACGGUACCUGAGGAGGAAGCCACGGCUAACUACGUG